rnacentral:tRNA from 1 species
UAAAUUGAAGCCAAAUUAGAGGCAUUUUAUUGUUAAUAAAAUUAUUGAAAGUCAAACAAUUCCAAUUUAU